rnacentral:tRNA from 1 species
GGAGAGAUGUCCGAGUGGUCGAAGGAGCACGCCUGGAAAGCGUGUAUAGGGGCAACCCUAUCAGGGGUUCAAAUCCCCUUCUCUCCGCCA